UACGUAGGGGGGCUAGCGUUGUCCGGAAUCAUUGGGCGUAAAGAGCGUGUAGGCGGUCCGGUAAGUCCGCUGUGAAAGUCGGGGGCUCAACCCUCGAAUGCCGGUGGAUACUGUCGGGCUAGAGUGCGGAAGAGGCGAGUGGAAUUCCUGGUGUAGCGGUGAAAUUCGUAGAUAUUGGGAAGAACACCGGUGGCGAAGGCGGCGACCUGGUCCGUGACUGACGCUGAGGCGCGAAAGCGUGGGGAGCAAACAGG
rnacentral:rRNA from 1 species